GACGAACGCUGGCGGCGUGCCUAAUACAUGCAAGUAGAACGCACAGUUUAUACCGUAGCUUGCUACACCAUAGACUGUGAGUUGCGAACGGGUGAGUAACGCGUAGGUAACCUGCCUGGUAGCGGGGGAUAACUAUUGGAAACGAUAGCUAAUACCGCAUAAUAUUAAUUAUUGCAUGAUAAUUAAUUGAAAGGUGCAAUUGCACCACUACCAGAUGGACCUGCGUUGUAUUAGCUAGUAGGUGAGGUAACGGCUCACCUAGGCGACGAUACAUAGCCGACCUGAGAGGGUGAUCGGCCACACUGGGACUGAGACACGGCCCAGACUCCUACGGGAGGCAGCAGUAGGGAAUCUUCGGCAAUAGACGAAAGUCUGACUGAGCAACGCCGCGUGAGUGAAGAAGGUUUUCGGAUCGUAAAGCUCUGUUGUAAGAGAAGAACGGGUGUGAGAGUGGAAAGUUCACACUGUGACGGUAUCUUACCAGAAAGGGACGGCUAACUACGCG
rnacentral:rRNA from 1 species